AUCUGAAGACUUGACUGGGGCUGGAGAACCUCCUCUCAAGGCAACUCCCACACAAGCCUAGGAAGUUCAUUCUGGCUGUUGGCAAGGGGCUUCUGUUCCUUGCCAUGUGGACUGCUUGCCAUAGGCUGCUUGAGUGGCCUCAUCACAGACAUGGUGGUUGGCUUUCCCCAGAAGACUCUUAGAAAGCCAGACCUUUAUAGGAAGAUGUGGGUUUAAGAUCUUUCACCACCUUCUUGAGCAACAUCCUGUCACCAUCAAGACUGAAGGUCAACCAACUGCCCAUGGAGGAAAGGCUUGAGAAAGCUUUUGCUGUGCCAAAAGGGGGAACUAUUUCUCCUGGAACAGAGUGGACAAAUGUGCAGCAGGUGAACAGAAUCAUAUUUGCUUUCCAGCUGUUGCACCAGCUGUGUCAUGCUGACAGUGGCCUCCACCUGUCUAACUCCUGCUUCCACCAAUUCAGAACCAAGAUAUUUUUAUACUCAUAUCCUGGUAUAAACCAACUGCUGAUGGAAGUUCUUUGAUGCUGAAUUUGGAAUCAAAUACAUUCUACUUUCUGGAAAUCCAUAUACUGGGUGGCUGCUUCAAUAGCAGCGGACACAAGAUGUAAAAUGCAGCAAUGGUCAAGGAAUUUCUCAGGGGAGGAAUCAAUCCUCUCAUUUUGGUGGAGGAACCUUGGAUACAGGGAGGAUGAGGGACUGACUCAAAGUCAUCUGGCAACUUAGAGACGAGGCCAGAGCUCCUCAAAUCUCCUAGCUCUGAAUCCAUGUUCUUUUUAUUGAGCGGGUCAUGACGUAACCCCCCAGAUGAGUGCAGCUUUUAAUCUCCCACAUCAAGGAGCCUGCUGGCUGCAGACUCAUGCAUACACAUCACGGUGGUUUCUGGGUGGUUGAUGCUCAUCACCCUCUGACUUCAUUUAUUUUUUCCUUUGCAAAAUGGCUAUUGCCCAGAGGCAGCAUCUCUUUUCUAAAAAGUGAACAUGCCAGAAGGGUUUUUGGAAACUGCCUUGCUAUCUGUAGGAGCCAGAUGAUUCACAGGGAUGAACCAAUGUACAUAACAAGGAUACCUGAUUGGAUUACCAAUUAGCCGUCUCCACCUCUGCAGGGUGGUUGGAAAGAAGAGAAAAGGCAGUGUUUAGUUUGGGCAAAUACCAAAAGGACUUUAUCAUUCUCAUCAAGGCAUCAGCGUGGCACAUUAGACCUCUUCCAAGCCAUUCCACUGGAACUUCUCUCUCCAAAUGCUCCAGCAAGAGUAAACUUGUUAUGCAAACAUUGGAUCAUUGUCUCUGAGCUACAGAAGCACCUCUGUGUCGGUGAAAGGGGAGAAACUGGCUGACUUGCGUCUGUUUUUAAUGAUGUCGCUGCUGCUGGGAAAAUUUGGAAGCUGCAGGACAUUAGAAAGGAUAUCGUGAACAGCCAUAUGAAGAGAUGGGCAAGCAUGUGCCGAGCUUCCGUGCCCUCUCUGGGCCUGCUGCCCUCCCACCUAGACACGCUCAGCAAUGCUGAAGCUUAUCAAUUCGUGGUCAACAGCUAAUAAAGAGCUUGAUCUCC
rnacentral:lncRNA from 1 species